ACGGGUGAGUAACGCGUGGUCAACCUUCCCUACAGGUGGGGGAUAACUAGCCGAAAGGUUAGCUAAUACCGCAUGACAUCUUUGAGAGGCAUUCUUUUAAAGAAUAAAAGGAGCAAUCCGCUGAAGGACGGGACCGCGUCCCAUUAGCUAGUUGGUGGGGUAAUGGCCUACCAAGGCAACGAUGGGUAGCUGGUUUGAGAGAGCGACCAGCCACACUGGGACUGAGACACGGCCCAG
rnacentral:rRNA from 1 species